rnacentral:tRNA from 2 species
GCGAGAAUAGCUCAGUUGGUAGAGUACGACCUUGCCAAGGUCGGAGUCGCGGGUUCGAAUCCCGUUUCUCGCU